CACGCAGAUUAGCAGGGACCCUGGGCGUCUUUCUUUUGCUGUUAUUGUCUUUUUGACCGUUCAACAGGUGCAUGUUCAUUAAUUGUUUAUGGUUCAUUGAACAAGCAUGGAACACAUUGUUUAAACCCUUUACAAUGAAGAUCUAUAAAGUUAUUUAGAUUUUUACAAAAGUAUCUUUAAAAUACAGUGUCCUGAAAAAGG